AGUGAACGCUGGCGGUAGGCUUAACACAUGCAAGUCGAACGGCAGCACACUAAGGGUUUGCUUUUCGGGGUGGGGGGGGGCGGACGGUGGAGGAAUCAAUCGAACCCUACUUUUUGGUGGGGGUUAAGGUGGGGAAACUUACCCUAAUACCGCAUCCACCCUACGGUGGAAAGCAGGGGACCUUCGAACCUUUCGCGAUUGAAUGAGCCGAUGUCGGAGUAGUUAGUUGGCGGGGUAAAGGCCCACCAAGUCGACGAUCCGUAGCUGGUCUGAGAGGAUGAUCAGCCACACUGGAACUGAGACACGGUCCAGACUCCUACGGGAGGCAGCAGUGGGGAAUAUUGGACAAUGGGCGCAAGCCUGAUCCAGCCAUACCGCGUGGGUGAAGAAGGCCUUCGGGUUGUAAAGCCCUUUUGUUGGGAAAGAAAAGCAGCAGGUUAAUACCCCGCUGUUCUGACGGUACCCAAAGAAUAAGCACCGGCUAACUUCGUG
rnacentral:rRNA from 1 species